AAGGGCACCACAAGAACGCGUGGAGCAUGUGGCUUAAUUUGACCCAACGCGGGAAAUCUUACCGGGUCCGGACACACUGAGGAUUGACAGGCACUAUUAAAUUUUUAUGAAUCAUAUUCAUAAUAUUUAUGUUAAAUAUGCUAGUCCUUUCAUGAUUAUGUGAUAGGUGGUGCAUGGCCGUUCUUAGUUCGUGGAGUGAUCUGUCUGCUUAAUUGCGUUUCACUAAGGGCUUAAAAAUUACGUGUGUUGUAUUGUUUUUUGACCCCUAUCGUUGAAAUAUUACGUGUAGUGCGUGUCUUAAAUUGCGAUACUCACACAAUUAAGUCCUGAAAGCAACGAACGUGACCGCAACCUCUUGUUGCCUUUACAUUUAAACGCGUGUUAUAUAUUUUUAUAUAUUUCACGUAAAAAAAGGCUUUUAAACUAGAGGGACCGCUGUAACUUUUUUUAAACCAGAGGAAGGUUGCGGCAAUAACAGGUCUGUGAUGCCCUUAGAUGUUCCGGGCUGCACACGUGCUACAAUGAUUAUUGCAGUGAGCAUCUCAUUUAUUACACACCGCAUGCGCGUGUCCAAUUAUUUACGUACUAUUUCAGUGCGUACUUUAAUUGUGUACAUUGCGCGCGGUAAAGCCCGCUUCGAAAGUAAGUGGGUAAUCAAUUAGAAGUAAUGAUUUCCCAAUUUAUAGCACACAUAUAUACGGCAUCUUUACCCCGCUUGCGCUUGUCGUAAGUUUUGUGCGUAUCGAUGUUUUUUCCGUAUGUGCAAUUGUCAAUUCAUGGUGGGGACAGACCAUUGUUAAUUGUUGGUCUCGGUCUUAACUAGGAAUGCCUUGUACGGGUCUUUGGUUCAACAAACCACCCGGAAUACGUCCCUGCCCUUUGUACACACCGCCCGUCGCUCUUACCGAUGGACUUCUCUGUGAGUUUGAGGGACUGGGUACCUGUAAAAAUUUAUUUUUACUAAUAUCACCUAUGGAAACUUAAACGAACAGUGUGGUCUAAAGGAAAGAGAAGUCGAACAAGGCA
rnacentral:rRNA from 1 species